AGCUACAGGCUUAACACAUGCAAGUCGAGGGGCAGCAUUUUAGUUUGCUUGCAAACUAAAGAUGGCGACCGGCGCACGGGUGAGUAACACGUAUCCAACCUGCCGAUAACUCGGGGAUAGCCUUUCGAAAGAAAGAUUAAUAUCCGAUAGUAUAUUAAAACCGCAUGGUUUUACUAUUAAAGAAUUUCGGUUAUCGAUGGGGAUGCGUUCCAUUAGUUUGUUGGCGGGGUAACGGCCCACCAAGACAACGAUGGAUAGGGGUUCUGAGAGGAAGGUCCCCCACAUUGGAACUGAGACACGGUCCAAACUCCUACGGGAGGCAGCAGUGAGGAAUAUUGGUCAAUGGACGAGAGUCUGAACCAGCCAAGUAGCGUGAAGGAUGACUGCCCUAUGGGUUGUAAACUUCUUUUAUAUGGGAAUAAAGUAUUCCACGUGUGGGAUUUUGUAUGUACCAUAUGAAUAAGGAUCGGCUAACUCCGUGCCAGCAGCCGCGGUAAUACGGAGGAUCCGAGCGUUAUCCGGAUUUAUUGGGUUUAAAGGGAGCGUAGGUGGAUUGUUAAGUCAGUUGUGAAAGUUUGCGGCUCAACCGUAAAAUUGCAGUUGAAACUGGCAGUCUUGAGUACAGUAGAGGUGGGCGGAAUUCGUGGUGUAGCGGUGAAAUGCUUAGAUAUCACGAAGAACUCCGAUUGCGAAGGCAGCUCACUAGACUGCAACUGACACUGAUGCUCGAAAGUGUGGGUAUCAAACAGGAUUAGAUACCCUGGUAGUCCACACAGUAAACGAUGAAUACUCGCUGUUUGCGAUAUACAGUAAGCGGCCAAGCGAAAGCAUUAAGUAUUCCACCUGGGGAGUACGCCGGCAACGGUGAAACUCAAAGGAAUUGACGGGGGCCCGCACAAGCGGAGGAACAUGUGGUUUAAUUCGAUGAUACGCGAGGAACCUUACCCGGGCUUAAAUUGCAUUUGAAUAAUCUGGAAACAGGUUAGCCGCAAGGCAAAUGUGAAGGUGCUGCAUGGUUGUCGUCAGCUCGUGCCGUGAGGUGUCGGCUUAAGUGCCAUAACGAGCGCAACCCUUAUCUUUAGUUACUAACAGGUCAUGCUGAGGACUCUAGAGAGACUGCCGUCGUAAGAUGUGAGGAAGGUGGGGAUGACGUCAAAUCAGCACGGCCCUUACGUCCGGGGCUACACACGUGUUACAAUGGGGGGUACAGAAGGCAGCUACCUGGCGACAGGAUGCUAAUCCCAAAAACCUCUCUCAGUUCGGAUCGAAGUCUGCAACCCGACUUCGUGAAGCUGGAUUCGCUAGUAAUCGCGCAUCAGCCAUGGCGCGGUGAAUACGUUCCCGGGCCUUGUACACACCGCCCGUCAAGCCAUGAAAGCCGGGGGUACCUGAAGUACGUAACCGCAAGGAGCGUCCUAGGGUAAAACUGGUAAUUGGGGCUAAGUCGUA
rnacentral:rRNA from 1 species